GGGUUGGUGAUUCAGUGGUAGAAUUCUUACCUUCCAUGUGAGAGACCCAGGUUCGGUUCCUGGCCCAUGCA
rnacentral:tRNA from 1 species